ACAUACAUCAGAUUAUCCUCAUUGUUUGGGAUUUGUUUUAUGUUCUCAAUCUAUAAUACAUUCUGUCAUUGACACACAAUCACACAUCUGUAAACUUUCAUCUUACAGAAGAUCGGAUCAAUCUGUCUGAAUGUGAAGCUUUAAGACUGGUUUGUGAAGACUACACUGUUAAAAAUUGCUGUUAAUUUACGGCAGAAUUUCAACAGUAUAAUCCUGUUAUGUUCAAAAGCAGUACAUUACUGUUUUUUUCGUUUUUGUGAAAUGACGUAGACACAAUAUAACGGCAUUCUACUGUAUUUAUAACUCGAAGGAAAUAAAACAUUACUAUCCAGUAUUUUUGUAAACUGCAGUGAGCACGCCGGGACUUUCAUCCGUCUUGUUAACAGUGAUAAACGCGCCAAAUGCGACAUCAUCGAGUGCAACUGGAUUUCUGACUCUGUGACUCGGAUUAUAUUAUUCCCAAUUACAGGGUUCAGGUGAAACACCAGGAAGAAGAAUCCAGCACUGGAUGAUCAGCCUUGAGGAGCACAUCAUUUGUGAGGGCAUCCAGCCGGCUUUUCUGUCUGGGCUUGCAGCUGAUUUUUCUACUUACAACAAUUUCAAUCUUCAAUACCAAGCUGAAGACGCAUGCAUGUUGGAAUUUAUUCAAAGGUGGUUCAUCGAGAUAAAUCCGGAAAAGGGACCAGGGCUGGAGGAGUCAUAUCAAAGCUGAUGGGGAAGGUCACCCAGAAAAAGAAAACCGUGAACCCUCGUGUCUGCAGUCUACUUAAAAAAAUUUAUGGAUUUUGAGUUGGACUUUAUACAAGUAUUACACACCACAGACCACACACACACUCACAU